GACCAGACUCCUACGGGAGGCAGCAGUGAGGAAUAUUGGUCAAUGGCCGGGAGGCUGAACCAGUCAAGUCGCGUGAGGGAAGACGGCUCUACGGGUUGUAAACCUCUUUUGUCAGGGAGCAAGGUGCAGGUCGGGGCCUGCUGUGAGAGUACCUGAAGAAAAAGCAUCGGCUAACUCCGUGCCAGCAGCCGCGGUAAUACGGAGGAUGCGAGCGUUAUCCGGAUUUAUUGGGUUUAAAGGGUGCGUAGGCGGGAUGCCAAGUCAGCGGUAAAAAUGCGGUGCUCAACGCCGUCGAGCCGUUGAAACUGGCGUUCUUGAGUGGGCGAGAAGUAUGCGGAAUGCGUGGUGUAGCGGUGAAAUGCAUAGAUAUCACGCAGAACUCCGAUUGCGAAGGCAGCAUACCGGCGCCCUACUGACGCUGAGGCACGAAAGCGUGGGUAUCGAACAGGAUUAGAUACCCUCGUA
rnacentral:rRNA from 1 species